CUGACAUCCCCGGGGAGCCAGCAUAUGGCUGAGAGUUGUGAGUAUGCUCCACAAGACCCGUCGAACCUGAACCCGUUAGCACGGGCGGAGGGAGUGGAGCGCUGGGCAUCA
rnacentral:ncRNA from 2 species